rnacentral:lncRNA from 1 species
UGGGGUUUCACUAUGUUGGCCAGGCUGGUCUCGAACUCCUGACCUCAGGUGAUCCGCCUGCCUCGGCCUCCCAAAGUGCUGGGAUUACAGGUGUGAGCCACCGCACCAGGCCUCUUUUACCUCUAAAUGUGUCAGUACUCCAGUGUGUAUUUCCUAAAAGCAAGACUAUUUUAUUACAUAAGUAUAGUACACUUUUCAAAAUCAGGGAACUAACACUGAUAUAACCCUGUAGUCACUAGACCUCCUUCCUGUUUCACUGCCUGUCCUUGUAAUGUCCUUUAUGGCAAAAGAAAACGUCAGGUCAUGCCUUGCCUUCACUCGGGAUGCCUCUUUGACUCUUUUCAUCUGAAACAGUUUUUGAGUCUUUGUAUUCUAUGACAUUGGCAUUUUUGAAAAGUACCUGCCAGAUAUUUUUUAAGAUGUCUAAAAAUUCCUUUUUAAAUAAAUUUAAGUUUUAAAUAAGUGAGUCCACUUAAAGAAAAACUAUCAAGUGACCCAAAGAACAAAUGGUCUACAGAUAAAGCAAAAACUGUGAAGAUGUACAUGGAUUACAGUUUUGACAAAUGUUGCCUUAAAUCAACUUCCUU